AAGGUGUGGUGGGUGAUUGCUUGAUUAUUUUAAGAGGAAAGUCCGGACUACAAUGAAGCAGGAUUCCAUCUAACAGAUGGCUAUCGUAAGAUAAGGGAAAGUGCAACAGAAAAUAAACUGCUAUUUAAUAGUGAUGGUGAAACGGCGAGGUAAGAGCUCACCGGAUUCUAAGCAAUUAGAAUCGCAUUGCAAACCCAAUUCGUAGCAAAAAGAGCAGGUUAAAAGCUUCAUGAUUUUUAGCUCUUUGCUGAAAAAUUAUUGUGAAAUAAUUUUUAGAUAAAUAAUCACCCUAAAUUUAUUUUAGACAGAAUCCGGCUUAUAGCCACGCCUUAAAA
rnacentral:RNase_P_RNA from 1 species